CGGAGGCGCUCAAAGGUUCUCUCAGUACGGUCGGAAAUCGUACGUAGAGUGUAAAGGCAAAAGAGAGCUUGAUUGCAAGACAUACAGGUCGAGCAAGGAUGAAAAUCGGACUUAGUGAUCCGGUGGUUCUGCGUGGAAGGGCCAUCGCUCAACGGAUAAAAGCUACCCUGGGGAUAACAGGCUUAUCUCCCCCAAGAGUCCACAUCGACGGGGAGGUUUGGCACCUCGAUGUCGGCUCAUCCCAUCCUGGGGCUGUAGUAGGUCCCCAGGGUUGGGCUGUUCGCCCAUUAAAGUGGUACGCGAGCUGGGUUCAGAACGUCGUGAGACAGUUCGGUCCCUAUCCGUCGCAGGCGUAGGAAAUUUGAGAAGACCUGUCCUUAGUACGAGAGGACCGGGAUGGACGUACCUCUGGUGUACCAGUUGUCCUGCCAAGGGCAUGGCUGGGUAGCUAUGUACGGAAUGGAUAAGCGCUGAAAGCAUCUAAGCGCGAAG
rnacentral:rRNA from 1 species